rnacentral:rRNA from 1 species
AGAGUUUGAUCAUGGCUCAGGAUGAACGCUGGCGGCAUGCCUAAUACAUGCAAGUCGAACGAGAGACCUUCGGGUCUCUAGUGGCGAACGGGUGAGUAACACGUAGGGAACCUGCCCGCGCACCGGGAAUACGCUCUGGAAACGGAGAACAAAUCCCGAUGUACAGGAAGGAGGCAUCUUCUUUCUGUGAAACAUCCUUUAGGGGAUGGGGCGCGGAUGGACCUGCGGUGCAUUAGUUGGUUGGCGGGGUAAAGGCCCACCAAGACGAUGAUGCAUAGCCGGCCUGAGAGGGCGGACGGCCACAUUGGGACUGAGACACGGCCCAGACUCCUGCGGGAGGCAGCAGUAGGGAAUUUUCGUCAAUGGGCGCAAGCCUGAACGAGCGAUGCCGCGUGAGUGAAGAAGGCCUUCGGGUCGUAAAGCUCUGUUGCGGGGGAAAAAAGGCAGCAUCAGGAAAUGGGUGCUGACUGAUGGUGCCCCGCCAGAAAGUCACGGCUAACUACGUGCCAGCCGCCGCGGUAAUAC